rnacentral:rRNA from 1 species
AGAGUUUGAUUAUGGCUCAGGAUGAACGCUAGCGGCAGGCUAACACAUGCAAGUCGAGGGGCAUCGCGGUGUAGCAAUACACUGGCGGCGACCGGCGAAAGGGUGAGUAACGCGUGAGCAACGUGCCCGGUAUUGGGGGAUAGUCAUUGGAAACGAUGCGUAAUACCCCGUAACAACAAGGAUCGCAUGGUUCAUGUUUAAAAGAUUUAUUGAUACCGGAUCGGCUCGCGUACCAUUAGGUAGACGGCGGGGUAACGGCCCACCGUGCCGACGAUGGUUAGGGGUUCUGAGAGGAAGGUCCCCCACAUUGGAACUGAGACACGGUCCAGACUCCUACGGGAGGCAGCAGUGAGGAAUAUUGGUCAGUGGCCGAGAGGCUGAACCAGCCAUGCCGCGUGCGGGAAGACGGCCCUAUGGGUUGUAAACCGCUUUUGUCGGGGAGCAAUAAGUGUUACGUGUAACACGAUGAGAGUACCUGGCGAAUAAGCAUCGGCUAACUCCGUGCCAGCCGCAGC